AAUUUGUAGCUGGAAAAAAUCAUCAUGACGGUCUGAGCUAGUUGAAAAAGAGAAAGAAAAAUGAACGACUUCAAUCACUGAAUACUUUAUCUGAUGAGGAUCUGCUAACAAAGUGAGUAGCCAACAAUUUCCAGGCAUCAAACUCUGCAGAGGUGAUGCCAGACUACGCAUCCUGUUCAGUGCUGAGACUCUGAUUCAAUACCUGCUGAGACCUUUGCCAAGAACAAAGUACAGAGCUGAUCUCCAGUGGAUAGACCUGGCAGGACACCUAGCUGACUUGUGUUGUUCCAUAAAAUAAACCAA